UGGGGAAUUUUGGACAAUGGGCGCAAGCCUGAUCCAGCUAUUCCGCGUGUGGGAUGAAGGCCCUCGGGUUGUAAACCACUUUUGUAGAGAACGAAAAGACACCUUCGAAUAAAGGGUGUUGCUGACGGUACUCUAAGAAUAAGCACCGGCUAACUACGUGCCAGCAGCCGCGGUAAUACGUAGGGUGCGAGCGUUAAUCGGAAUUACUGGGCGUAAAGGGUGCGCAGGCGGUUGAGUAAGACAGAUGUGAAAUCCCCGAGCUUAACUCGGGAAUGGCAUAUGUGACUGCUCGACUAGAGUGUGUCAGAGGGAGGUGGAAUUCCACGUGUAGCAGUGAAAUGCGUAGAUAUACGGAGGAACAUCAGUGGCGAAGGCGACUAUCUGGCACAUAACUGACACUGAGGGGGGCGAAAGCGUGGGGUAGCAAACAGGAUUAGAUACCC
rnacentral:rRNA from 1 species